rnacentral:rRNA from 1 species
AGUCAAUAGAUACCCAGGUAGUCCACGCCGUAAACGAUGAGUACUAGGUGUAGGAGGUAUCGACUCCUUCUGUGCCGCAGUUAACACAAUAAGUACUCCGCCUGGGAAGUACGGUCGCAAGAUUAAAACUCAAAGGAAUUGACGGGGGCCCGCACAAGCAGCGGAGCAUGUGGUUUAAUUCGAAGCAACGCGAAGAACCUUACCUAGACUCGACAUCUCCUGAAUAGCGCAGAGAUGCGUGAAGCCCCUUCGGGGCGGGAAGACAGGUGGUGCAUGGUUGUCGUCAGCUCGUGUCGUGAGAUGUUGGGUUAAAGUCCCGCAACAAGCGCAACCCCUAUUAUUAGUUGCUACCAUUAAGUUGAGCACUCUAAUGAGACUGCCCGGGUUAACCGGAGGAAGCGGGGAUGACGUCAAAUCAUCAUGCCCCUUAUGUCUAGGGCUACACACGUGCUACAAUGGUGAGAACAACGAGAUGCAAUACCGCGAGGUGAGCAAAACUGAAAACCUCAUCUCAGUUCGGAUUGUAGG